rnacentral:lncRNA from 1 species
AGUGACACUGCUGCCCUAGAACCUGGGUGCUCAGGGAGUGAGUGUGUGUGGGUAUGUGUGUUGUUCGGGUAGGGAGGAGGUCUCUCAGCUUGCCUCACAUCUGGAUUCUCAGCAUGCUGGGCCCAAGGUGGAGCCUGCGUUCCACACAUAGGGCCUGGGAGGAAGAAGGGAGUCCCCAUCUCUCAACCGCAUUCACUGGAGACUGGCUAGCAUCAGCAGGAAGUCACUUGGGGCAUGCUAUGCGAGACAUGCUGAAGCCUUGCUUCUCCCAGGAAAAAAGCCCUCUAAUUUGGAGCUGGUAGGAGAGAGAGGCCUGUGUUCUUGAGGGCAGCAGUCAGGAGUGGAUCUCUGCCUCACUGAGCUAGAAGUUGAGGAGGAAGGAAUGUUUUUGUUCAAAUACUGCAGACCAGUCUUUCUUACCAAAGUUUUCUAGGUUUUCCUGAACAUGUGCUUGUUUCUCCACUUGCCAGUUUAUACCUAGGACCAUUUCCAGAGGCUUUAAAUUAUUGUCUUCAGUCAUUUUCACCCAUUCACUGGGGAGCAGGUCAGUGGAGUGCCAGACGCUGUCAUGCUGGAGGUGGUCCUUGUCUAAGAUCAUAGACAGAGAGCGGUCAGCCUCAAUCCCGCAAACCCACACAGGCCCUGUGCCCUUCCUGUGGUUUUAAGUACCUAGCUGGUCAUUAAUGUUCAUUUACUGACUUGAUUUUCUCAGGGUAGUAAAGCUCUAUUUCAAACAGUGUUUAUUCAUUGUUUCUCCUACAUGUGAGUAGGUGGGCAAAAAUAAAAUCUCUUUUUUUCUACAAGCAUAAAAUAAAAGUUAGCAUUUUCUCCCUUGGAAGAACUCAAGGAAGAUUUUUCAGAGUUUAUGUUGUUCACUGUGACUUUUAAUAAAAAAAUAGUUUUCUGAAUUUUUCCUGCAGUAAUCAGUUACAUCAGUAGGGCAAGGUCAUAAAUCAACUGCUACCAAUUUAUAAUCUCCCUCUUCUCAGAAUGAAGGUAACAGAUUGGGAUUUGUUGGUGGUCGUGUUUGAGGCUGAAGAUAAUGAAUUCUGUUACUUUGAGCUAUUCAAGCUUAAUUCCACUCAAGUCCAGUCAGAAGGAGUCCAGCUUGAUGAAGGAUUACUGACAAAAGCAGGACAAGCCUCCAUGUAUACUUAAUUCACAUUUAGCUUAUGGCCCAUGUUCAGGAUGGGUUAUAUCCAUUGACGUUCUUUCCAGGAGAGAGCGUCUCCUGUCAGGCUUUCUGCCACGGCCACUGUGAUUACAAUUGUGGGGAUUCUCAAGCUGCAGUAAAAUGUGUUAAAAAUACAGAUUCCUGGACCCCAUGUCGAAGAUUCAUGUUUAGUAGAUAGUAGAUGUGGCACAGGAAUCUGCCUUGUUAAGAGGCUCCUGGGCUUGUUUCACCAACACUCACACUGAGCAACUCUGAGUCCAGUGCCACUGAGUGGGCACAUCGUCAUCCACUUCUUCUUGCUCUAAUCUUCUCGUGGGCAACCAAACGGGUGAGAGCUUGGUUUCCCAGUUGUGCAUUUACUAGGAGGCAGUGUUGUGGUCAUGUUGACAUUCUGCUUAAUUGCUUUUUUCUCAUUAAAAUUAAUAAGUUGAUAUUUGUAUUUAUUAAAUAUGUGUUUACAGACCACGUUUGAAAUUAGCAAAUCACUAAGACCAUUAAUUUGAAGAGGUAGGUAUUUUUGUACUACAGAUUUCAGAUCAUCUGACCACACCCGGAAGAAUGCAGUCACCUUUCUGUGAGUGAGCCAGCCUUAAAGGCAACAGUAUCUGAUAUCUUGGCUGUCUCAGUGAUCUGUAGAGAACUGCAAGUCCUUUUUCUCUUUACAAAAGGAGAUAGAAUGGUAAAAAGAUUAAGAGUAUAGACUUUAGAUUUGGGCAGUCCUGUGUCUGAAUUCUUUCUGUGCAGCUUCUGAGCAGUGUGGACUGAUUCCGUUGGUUAUUCUCUUUGAGCCUUCUGUUUCUUCAUGUGCACACUGAAGGUAAUGAAUUCAGUAGGUGAAAAUCUCUGGUUGUAGCAGAAAACCCACCUUAAUCUGGCAAGAUACAUACAUACAUGCAUACAAACAGACAUGUAAUAUACGUAGGAAUAUCUUGACUCCAAAAGCUCUGAAGUAGGGCUGGACUCAGACAAAAGUGAGUCUAGGAAUUCAGAUGAGUGCAUCUGAACCAAUUUGUGACUCCCUGUAGACUCCAUUCUCCAGCUCCCUGUGGCUGUGGCUCACAGUUCCAUUUACAACUCUAUCCUUGAAGGUUAAUAAUGUGCACUGGGAGAGAACAAAUGCCUGUGCCUCUCUGAGCGCUCUUAGCAAGCAUCUCACUGUAAAUCACUCUCUUUGGGUCAAAUGCCCACCCCUCAGUUAGUCACCAUGAUGAGGGAGACAUGAUGUUCUGAUUGGCAAAGCCUGGGUUCCGUGACCCUUUGGCGCUAAGGACACAUCAGCACCACAUGCAUCACAUGGCUGGAAAUAGCAAAGAGAGUGGUCUCCAGAGGAAAAUGGGAAUGCUGCUACCAAAAAGAAGGGCAGGAGAGAACACAGGACCAACAGUCUGCAGCUGACUAAUACAGGAAGCCCCACUUCACAGAUCUCAGAGGAGAGAGUCCUGGGACCUCGCCGAGCAUAUGACUUGGCACACAGUCAGCAUUCAGUGCAUGAUAAUGGUUCAGAAGGGAAAUCAUUUUUGCAGUGAACUGCAUCCUCUCUUUAUCAGAAGCUAUUUCUUGUUAGGAGCACUAUCUCCUAAAGAAGCAAAAGAUGAUCUGAAAUCAGUCUUUUUCCCUAAAAGCAGCAUGUAGCCUCACUGCUGGCACACAGUGAGAGAUAGGUGUGAAUCCUUAUUCCAAAGGCAAGUCCUUUCACCUCCCUGAGCCUCAGUUUUUUCAUCCGUAGGCUAGAAAUGAUAACUAGUGCCCACUUGCCUUUAUAGUGAUAGCCAACAGUAUAAUGACUAUGAAAAAAUAUAAAUAAUCAAAUUACUAUGAAGAGAAUAAUAGCUAUGUUGAGAUACUAGGCUCAGUCAAAUAUGGAAUAUCUGGGUGCCAGGGGCUGUGUUGAGUUCUUUUCCAAAUGUUAUCACAUUUAAUCCUUGUAGUCAUCCUAGGAGGUAGGUAAUGUUAUUGCAUCUUCACUUUACAAAUGAAGCUCAGAGAGACUGCAUAGCAAGCUCAAAAUCACCCAAGUUACUGUGUCCCAUAGGUUUUGGAUUGUCAUAUCUUCACUGUCAUUUGUCUCUAAGUUUCAUCUUAUUUCUUCUUUGAUUUCUUCGGUGAUACACUGGUUGUUUAGUAGCAUAUAUUUUUAGCUUCCAGGAGUUCAUGUUUUUUGCUGGUUUUUCUCUUCUUGCAGUUGAUUUCUAGUCUCAUAGCAUUGUGGUCAGAGAAAAUACCUGAAAUAAUUUCAACUUUGAGAAAUUUACCAAAGUUUUAUCUGUGGCCCAAGGUGUGAUCUAUCCUGAAGAAUGUUCCAUGUGCACUUGAGAAGAAUGUAUAUUCUGCUGUUUGGGGGUGGGAUGUUCUAUAAAUAUUGGUUAAGUCUAUCUGGUCUAGGGUGCCACUUAAAGCCUAUGUUUCCUUGUUGAUUUUCUGUCUGGAAGAUCUGCCCAUUGGUGUAAGUGGGGUGUUAAAGUCCCCCACAUAUUAUAGUGCUGUUGUUGAUUUCUCCUUUUAUGAGUGUUAACAGUUGCUUUAUAUAUUGUGGUGCUCCCAUGUUGGGUGUGUUUAUAUAUAUAUAAAUAGUUGGUAUAUCUUCUGAGAGGGAAGUUUAUAGCAAUGCAGUCUUACCUCAGGAAACAAGAAAAAGCUCAAAUAAGCAACCUAAAACAUCUAGAGGAGGAAGAACAAGCAAAGCCCAAAAUUAGUAUAAGGAAAGAAAUCAUAAAGAUUAGAGUAGAAAUUAAUGAUGUAGAAACAAAGAAAACAAUGGAGAUCAGUGAAACCAAAAGUUGGUUCGUUGUAAAGAUCAACAUAUUUGUAAACCUUUAGCCAGACUCAUCAAGGAAAAAAGGGGAGAGGACUUAAAUCAAUAGAAUUAUGAUUUAUUUUUAUACUUCAAAAUGACUAUACUACCCAAGGCAAUCUACAGAUUCAGUGCAGUCCCUAUCAAAUUGCCAAAGACAUUCUUCAUAGAACUAGAAUAAAUAUUUUAAAAUUUAUGUGGAAACACAAAAGACCCUGAAUAGCCAAAGCAAUAUUGAAAAAGAAAAGCAGAACAGGAGGAAACAAGCUCCCUAUCUUUAGACUGUAUUUUGAAGCUACAGUUAUCAAAACAGCAUGGUACUGUGUGGUACUGGCACAAAACCAGGAAUACAGAUCAAUGAAACAGUAUAGAAAGCCUGGAAAUAAACCCAAGCACCUAUGUUCAACUAAUAUGUGACAAAGGAGGCAAGACAUACAGUGGAAGAAAGUCUCUUCAUCAAGUGGUGCUGAGAAAACUAGACAGUUACAUGUAAAAGAAUGAAAUUAGAAUAGUCUCUGAUGCCAUACACAAACACACACUCAAAAUGGAUUAAAGACCUAAAUGUAAAGCCAGAUACCAUGAAACUCCUAGAGAAAAAUAUAGGCAGAACAUUCUUUGACAUAAAUCUCAGCAACAUCUUGUUUAAUCCACCUCCUAGAAUAAUGACAAGAAAAACGAAAGUAAACCAAUGGGACCUAAUUAAAUUCAAAUCUUUUGCACAGCAAAGAAAACCAUUAAAAAAUAGAAAAGAGGAGUUCUUGUUGUUGCACAGCAGAAACAAGUCUAACUAGGAACCAUGUGGUUACAGGUUCGACUCCUGGCCUCGCUCAGUAGGUUAAGGAUCCGGCAUUGCCGUGAGCUAUGGUGGAGGUUACACAUGCGGCUCAGAUCUGGAGUUGCUGUGGCUGUGUCAUGGGCCAGCAGCUGCAGCUCUGAUUAGACCCCUAGCCUGGGAACUUCCAUAUGCCAUGGGUGUGGCCCUAAAAAGA